rnacentral:rRNA from 1 species
AGUGAACGCUGGCGGUAGGCCUAACACAUGCAAGUCGAACGGCAGCACAGUAAGAGCUUGCUCUUACGGGUGGCGAGUGGCGGACGGGUGAGGAAUACAUCGGAAUCUACUUUUUCGUGGGGGAUAACGUAGGGAAACUUACGCUAAUACCGCAUACGACCUACGGGUGAAAGCAGGGGAUCUUCGGACCUUGCGCGAUUGAAUGAGCCGAUGUCGGAUUAGCUAGUUGGCGGGGUAAAGGCCCACCAAGGCGACGAUCCGUAGCUGGUCUGAGAGGAUGAUCAGCCACACUGGAACUGAGACACGGUCCAGACGCCUACGGGAGGCAGCAGUGGGGAAUAUUGGACAAUGGGCGCAAGCCUGAUCCAGCCAUACCGCGUGGGUGAAGAAGGACUUCGGGUUGUAAAGCCGUUUUGUUGGGAAAGAAAAGCAGCAGGUUAAUACCCCGCUGUUCUGACGGUACACAAAGAAUAAGCACCGGAUAACUUCGUG